ACAAGCGGUGGAGCUAUGUGGUUCAAUUCGAUGCAACGCGAAGAACCUUACCUGGGCUUGAACCGCACCUGUAAACCUGUGGAAACACGGGUCCCUCCUUCGGGAGCAGGUGUAGAGGUGCUGCAUGGCUGUCGUCAGCUCGUGUCGUGAGAUGUUGGGUUAAGUCCCGCAACGAGCGCAACCCUUGUCUUUAGUUGCCAUCAUUCAGUUGGGCACUCUAAAGAGACUGCCGGUGUCAAACCGGGAGGAAGGUGGGGAUGACGUCAAGUCCUCAUGGCCUUUAUGACCAGGGCUACACACGUACUACAAUGGCCGGUACAAAGGGCAGCCACUUAGCGAUAAGGAGCCAAUCCCGUAAAACCGGUCUCAGUCCGGAUUGGAGUCUGCAACUCGACUCCAUGAAGUUGGAAUCGCUAGUAAUCGCAGAUCAGCACGCUGCGGUGAAUACGUUCCCGGGCCUU
rnacentral:rRNA from 1 species